rnacentral:lncRNA from 1 species
GGGAGCCUGGUAGGAGGUCGAUCGACGAUGGACUUCGGAUAGCGUUGGGGAGGCUCGGCAGGCAUCGAAGGUGAUCGACUAUCGCAGGGACCCAGCUGUCGGAGCUCGUCCGUUAUAGAAGCUCGUCCGAAAUCCAUCCGUUGGAGAAGUUCGGAUGGGAUCCUGUUCUCGCGAGAGGUCGAGAGGGGACCAUCCAUUGUAGGAGCUCGGGUAAGGAUCAAUUAUCGUGGAAGCUUGGAGUGGUGUCCCGUCGUAGUAGUUCGUCCAAAAUCCACUCGCUAUGGAGUAGCUCGGCUGAAGUCUACCUGUAAUAGAAGUUCGAAAGAAAUUUGUUUAUAGUAGAGGUUUGAAUAAAAUUUGCUUACAGUAAUCGUCUGGGAUAGCCAGCCUGCGGUAGGAGCUCGGAGUAGACCGCUCGUAGUAGAAGUUUGGCUCUCGCGGGAGCUCGAUUAGGAUCCGGGGGGUAGUCGACCGCCGUAAAAAUUCGGGUGGAGUCUGGUUACCGUAGAAAUCACGUUGUCGGGGAAGCUCAGAUGCUGGCGAAGCCCGAAAGAAGUUCGGGGUAGAAACUCAGGUGGUUGGUUGCCGUAGAAGGUUGGCAGACAGUGAGUCCCAGAGGGCCUUCGGGGCGGCCCAAUGAAUGAAUGCAGAAGUUCAUUAUCGAAGAAGUCCGGAUGAUCGAGGAGGUUCGGAGAGGCGCCACGCACAAGGUCGGG